rnacentral:rRNA from 1 species
UAUUACGGCCAUAUCACAGAAAGCACCAGUUCUUGUCUAAUCACCGAAGUUAAGCAACAUCAAGCCUAAUGUGUAUUUAGAUGGGUGACCAGUUGAGAAAUGUAGGUGUAUAAGCC